GUCUUGUGGGCUGGCCUUUAGUCUCAGCUACUCAGGAGACUAAGGCAGGAGAAUUGCUUGAGCCCAGGAGUUCUGGGCUGUCAUGCACUAUGCCUGUUGGAUGUCUGCACUAAGUUUAGCAUCAAUAUGGUGACCUCCCGAGAGCAGGGAAUCACCAUGUUGCCUAAGGAGGGGUGAACUGGCCCAGGUCUGAAACGGAAUAGUUCAAAACCCCUGUGCUGAUCAGUAGUGACAUGGUGCCUGUGACUAGCCACUGUACUUCAGGCUGGGCAACAUAGCAAGACCUUGUCUCA
ensembl:misc_RNA Metazoa_SRP Metazoan signal recognition particle RNA